AUUGAACGCUGGCGGCAGGCCUAACACAUGCAAGUCGAACGAGUGGCGGAAGGGUGAGUAAUGUCUGGGAAACUGCCUGAUGGAGGGGGAUAACUACUGGAAACGGUAGCUCAUACCGCAUACCAUCAGAUGUGCCCAGAUGGGAUUAGCUAGUAGGUGGGGUAAAGGCGCACCUAGGCGACGAUCCCUCGCUGGUCUGAGAGGAGGACCAGCCACACUGGAACUGAGACACGGUCCAGACUCCUACGGUAGGCAGCAGUGGGGAAUAUUGCACAAGGGGCGCAAGCCUGAUGAAGCCAUGCCGCGUGUAUGAAGAAGGCCUUCGGGUUGUAAAGUACUUUCAGCGGGGAGGCGUUACCCGCAGAAGAAGCACCGGCUAACUCCGCGCCAGCAGCCGCGGUAAUAC
rnacentral:rRNA from 1 species